rnacentral:lncRNA from 1 species
CUUAGCCCGUUUGGGCUGGUCCUAGCUUGGCCAUGGGGUAGGCCAGUCCUAUAGUCUAGGCUGGGUAGGGUUCUCGGCGUGCCGAUUGGGCCCAAGCCCAGACCGCCACAGGCGCGGGUUGGGCUUAGCUCAAACCGAGCCUGCCCAAGCCCAUGACCCAAUCGGAUUGAGCCAGGCCGGACUGACCUAAUUUGCAGUACUAGUUUUUGACAUUGAAAUGGGUCUGAGUUGUACUUAUAGUUGAAUCUAGG